rnacentral:lncRNA from 1 species
GGGUGUUGGACAACCAUAGGCAAAACUGAAAUGGAACAGGGGCAGAAAAUAGCACACUUUUACUCUACGCAACUGUUGCUUUUUCAUGAUCUUCAGGAAUUUUACUGGGAUAAUUAUCCAAAUAAAUUGCAAGCAUUCUAUCCAAAUGGUGAUCUUCUGAGAUAUUUUGAGGGAAAGAGGUAGUAUACCAAAAUGGAAAUACUACGCAAGGAGCUCUUUCUGAGAUGAAGAGAAUUCUCAAUGUCAAGAUUUGAACAAGAAGAGAAUGGAAUACACAAUAUGGACAUCCAUAAAAAUUCAUCAGAGAGCAUUUUACUACUGAGCUGCAAAGGUAGGAAAAAUAAAUUUUUUUUGGUUAGAAAAUAUACUUCUUUCAUCUGCGUUUCAAUAAUUUAUUCCCCUUGUUAGAUAUACAUGGAAUUGAUAUUGCUUAUUCUGACUAAGUGAAAAGUGUUAUUUCUACUUACUGCUCAAUUAGAAACAUGUAGUGUUUAAUUGUCAGUUUGAAUUUUUCUUUCAUACUAUUACAGUUUAUAUUUUACUAUAGGCAGAAUUUCCUCUUUAUCCUAAAUUUUGAUAUUCUCCAUAAUUUCAUCGUGCCUUGACAUUGCUGUAUAUAAUUUCUAUACAUCAGGAAGGCAAUUCUGUGUGCAUGUGUGUGUGUAUAUAUAUAGUUAGAAGUUAGAAACUGAAACUCUUUUUUGUCUACCAUCAUUUCAUAUUUUUCUUGCUAUUUCAAACCUAUAAUUUUUAAAGAAACGACUAACGUAAUCAUUCAUAGAAUAUGCUGUCAGUAACUUAACAAUAUAAAUGUUAACAUGGAGGCAUUUAGUUCAGCAUUUGCUUUACUUAAUAGAGUGCAGAAAAUGUGGCCCUUUUCUCAGUUAGGGUGUAUGUGAAGAUAAAUUUAGAAUUUCUAGACUAGUAAAUACUUCUCUGAUAAUAACUUAAUUAUAGCUAUUUCAAACCAAAUUGUUUAAUUGUGGUGAAUCAUAUGUAAAUUGUUCAGAUGUAGGUCAACACCCACGCCCACAUUCUAGCACCUCUUUCCUAAUUCAAGACAACUUUGCAGUGCCUAAAAGAGCUGAACAGUGCAGAUUAGAGACAUAAGACAAAAAAAAAAAAAAAACACAAAACAA